UGAAAUUAUCGUUAAUUAGGUCUAUUUCUAUUUCUAUUUCUUAAUGCCACAGGUGCGCCAUGGGACGAUAGAGCGAAGGACAAAUCCAGCGCAGACUCGAACGGGAUUCGUUCAUGACCCAGCUGAGGUUGGCCGAGUGUUGUAUCUAAAUCUCUGGAGCGGCAGGAUUUGGAUGAAUGCAGAAUGUGUCACAGCUCGGGGUGGACGUCUCUGGACACCUCACAAUUUAAUUUCAUUGCAAUUCAGAGGGCUAGAGUGUGAUUGGAAAACAAUUAUCAAUGCAUCUUGACGAUCACACUUGCUCCUUUUCAUCAGCAUAUUCCUAAUAACUCAUAAUUAAACAAAAAUGAAACACAUGCUAACAUCCAUUUUAAUUUACCAUUCAACUGGUUCAGCUGUAAGGAAUAGCCCGGUCUUACAAAAUUGUUACAGGUAAUGCUGAAAUAAGAUGGCGGUGCUGUAUAGACACCCUGGUUUCCUAAUCAUAUACUCCAGACAGAACAUGUUUGUGUGGUUCAGACCCCAGGAGACAGAGAACAUGAGGUGCAAAAAUGACCAUUUGCACUUAUAUCAGGUUGUAAUUACAAUAUCCUUCACAAUCAGCAGACUAAUAAGAACCAACAUGUCCCUCUAUUUUUCAGGUUUAAGCAUUAUCAAUUCCUCACAUCUUGUGAUUGGCUCUGUCUAAUUAAUAUUUUAUGCAUAUUCACAGUAAAUGUAUUUAAGACUGUGGGGGAAGGGGACAGAUGGGGAGAUGGAGUCACAGAUUGAAUUUGGUAGGAGUUGGCCACGGUUUAAGAAUAAAUGUUUAAUAAACACUAACAGCGAGA